rnacentral:rRNA from 1 species
AUACGUAGGUGGCAAGCGUUGUCCGGAAUUAUUGGGCGUAAAGCGCAUGUAGGCGGUUUGGUAAGUCGGUCGUGAAAAUGCGGGGCUUAACGCCGUAUGGCGAUUGAAACUGCUGAACUUGAGUGCAGGAGAGGAAAGGGGAACUCCCAGGGUAGCGGUGAAAUGCGUAGAUAUUGGGAAGAACACCGGUGGCGAAGGCGCCUUUCUGGACUGUGUCUGACGCUCAGAUGUGAAAGCCAGGGUAGCGAACGGGAUUAGAUACCCCGGUAGUCCUGGCCGUAAACGAUGGGUACUAGGUGUGGGAGGUAUCGACUCCUUCCGUGCCGGAGUUAACGCAAUAAGUACCCCGCCUGGGGAGUACGGCCGCAAGGCUUAAACUCAAAGGAAUUGACGGGG